rnacentral:sRNA from 1 species
AGUGAGCUGUGAGUUCUGUCCUUGCUGGCUUUCCCAAGUGGAAGGCUACCCUCAUCUUUCACUAAUGGCAGACUAGGACAAGCAUUACCCAGGCCCGCAAGCUUGUUAAGCACUAGGAACCCAAGCAAGAACUCACCAUGCCAAUCAAACCUGUUGGGUGGAUAUGUGGGCAGUCGAGGGGAUCCAGAAAGCAAUCAUGGACCUUGUAGAUGAGUUUAAAGAUGAAUUUCCCACCAUCCUAAGAUUAUCACAGUCUAAUCAGAAAAGAGAACCUGCGCAGAAAACAUCCAAAAUCAGGAUGGCUAUUGCUUUAGCUAAGAUUAAUCGAUCAACAUUAAUUCGCGGAUUAAACAGCAUAUCCAGAUCCUCCAAAUCAGUGGCCAAACUUCUGCAUCCUCAACUUGCAUGCAGACUUUUAGAGCUAAGGGACAUAUCUGGUCGUCUGCUGAGGGAAGUUAAUGCGCCGAGGCAACCCCUAUAUAACAUGCAGGUCAGAAAGGGUUCUUUGUUUGAAAUCAUCUCCUUUCCAGCAAAGACUGCUUUAACUAGCAUAAUAUAUGCUUCAUAUGCAGCACUAAUUUAUUUGGCAGUCUGUGUUAAUGCUGUGCUGGAGAAGGUAAAGAACAUCUUCCAGGAAGAAGAAUCCAUAAGGCAAAACAGAGAGGAGAGUGAAAAUUGUAGAAAAGCCUUUUCUGAGCCUGUGCUUUCGGAGCCUAUGUUUGCUGAAGGGGCAAACUAUACACGGUCGUCCAUCAAAAUCCUGGGGAAGAGAAUAACUCAUUUAAUAUUCUGACAUGUCAAAUGUUCUUGAUACACCAUAGACUCUGAAGAGAAUCUGCUGCAGAAGAACCAGGUUAAAAAACAGUAGAUCUAAGGGGUUGGGGUGACAAGAUUCUGCAUGUCUAAGAAGCUCCCAUGUGACACCAAAGUUGCUGGUCUAUGGACAACAGUUUGAGGAGCAAGGUCUUCAAGCUCUCAUUAUGGACUGAAACUGGAGAAAAUUCUAUGGAACUAUUAUCAGCUCACACAUAUAAAAACUGGUCACUAAGAUGACAGCUGAGCUGAAAUGCCCAAAAUGCAAAUGAACUAGACAUACCGACACCUGGGGGAAGAGAAUUCCAUACUGAAGGAAGAGCAAAUACAAAAGCCUGAAGGAAAGAAGAGACUUGGUGAAUGUGUUCCAGAAGACUGGAACAUAAUAUGCAAGAUUGGUAAAUAGGCAGGAGCCAGGUUGUGCAGUGCUUUGUAUGGAUUUUACUCUAAGAGCAAAGGAAAGCCACUAAAGAGUAUAAAGCUGGAAAGUGUGAAUUGAUUUCUUUUUGAAAGAACGCCCCCGGCUCUGUGGAGAAUGGAUUAUAGCAAAACAACAAUGGAUGCCCAGAAAUCAGAAAGCUAGGGGUCCAUGAAAAAAGAUGGUGGCUUGCCGAAGGGGGUUGAUGCUGUAGGGGAUAAAAAGUAAUAAUAAUAGUAGCAGUAGUAGCUACAAUUAUAUUGUGUUAACUAUGUGCCAGGCACUAUUCAAAGGCUACAUUUAUUUAUUAACUCCUUUAAUCCUCCAUGUUACUAAAAAGGUAUUAUUAUUUUAAUUUUAUAGUACAGAGAAG